rnacentral:misc_RNA from 1 species
GUGAGUCAUCGAAUCUUUGAACGCACAUUGCGCCCAUUAGUAUUCUAGUGGGCAUGCCUGUUCGAGCGUCAUUACGACCCUUACGCCCUAGUUGCGUAGUGUUGGGAACCUUACCGCCCCUCGGGCGGUAAUUCCCCAAAGUCAGUUGGCAGAGUUGCGGCAUACUCUGAGCGUAGUAAUUCUUUUUCUCGCUCCUGAAGGUGUCGCGGCGAUCGCCAUAAAACCCCUAAUUUUCUAGUGGUUGACCUCGGAUCAGGUAGGAAUACCCGCUGAACUUAAGCAUAUCAAUAAGCGGAGGA